CUUCUCUGCAGCUGAAGAGAAUAAAUCGUCCAGAUCCCCUCUCAUCUCAUAACCCAUUCAUUCAUGGAGAGGAGGGGGCAGGUGUUAGUGGUUGUCCCCAAACCCAGCCCCUCGCUUUCACACAUCAUCCUCCUCAUCAGCUCCCCAGCUCCACCUCUAUCCAUCCAGCUUGAUUCAUUUGAUAGCUGCCCUGAAGACGAGCAAAUGAAAUACACUGUAAAAAAUAUCCGUAGAUUUUACAGUUAAAUACAGUAAACCAUGGAAAUUUAAGACCGUAAAUUGGAAAUCAGUUUUAGACUGUUUCUUUAACAAGUAAUUACCGUAAAUAAGAUAAUUAGGAAAAAAUGUAAUUUUUACUGUUUUUUGUCAGAAAAUUUACAUUGCCCUGCUGUUAAAAAAAAUUUCGUAAUACUUUUAACAGUAAUAUGCUGUAAUUUUUCUAGUAGUACAUACUGUAGUUUUUGCACUCAUCUUUCUUAAAUAAUACAGUUAGUAGCUGUUAAAAAUGCAUACUGUUGAGACAAUUACAGAAACAUACUGUAAUAUUUCUAGCAAUGUGUACCGUAGUUUUUGCAUUCAAUAUUUAUAAAGUAUACAGUUCGAAACUGUUCAAUAUGCAUACUGCUGUGGCAAUUACAAAAAUAUACUAUAAUUCUUCUAGCAGUGUAUAUCUUAAUUUUUACAUUUAAUUAAUCUAAAGUAUACAGUUCAAAACUGUCAAUAUGCAUACUGUUUUGGAAAUGGGAAAAAAAAUUGUAGUAGCCUAGUGCUGUUACCUUUGCAUUUAAUUCUCCUGAUAGCCCAAAUUAUGUAAAAAUAAACAAAUACUUGCAAUAGUCUUAAGUUGUGGGUCCUGAAUCUGGAAUCUAUUAAAGUUUGACUUUUUGAAUGGAAUUAUGGAAAUUAAAUAUCUUUCCAUGAAAUGUUCUGUACUGUAAAUUAUCUUGCUGCCAAUAUUGGAUUUUUUUUUCAUUAACAAAUAAAUUAAAAUAAUCUGUACUCAGUCACUGAAAAUGUUUUAGAGAUAUUUGUAGUCUAAAUUGUAAUAUGAUUUAUUCGGUUUAACAAAAGUCAUGUAAUUCAAGUUUCCUGCCUGUAGACCUGGCAGGCAGCCUGUAGUCAGUCUUAAUUAAUGGCCCAAUAGGGGCCCCCUGCACCUGGUCCGCGCGGACAGGCGAAGUGGAUCUUUGGCGGUACUUUGGAAGCGGUGGAUUUGAACGGACCAAUCAGCGCGCUGCAUUUGAGGACCCGUCGCAGUCGGUGGUUAGCGUUUUUGUCCAGCUAUUCCGCUCAGAUUGUGCAGAGACUUCAUCAUCCAACCUACUCCAUCUGAUCGGCUCUCUCUCUCAGACUGCAUCGCAACGAACCGAGGCCUGUGUUCAAGUGUGUUGCAGCCGGUUGCAAGCAGGUAUGUACUGGUUAUGCAGCAUUAAAAGCACACUUCUAUCGUAAUCAUAAUAGCAUGCCAACAGUUGCCCUGUACACAAGUUUAACGAAAUUAAAAUGCACAGUUCCACUUUGUAAAUGGCAGUGUGAAGGGAUAAAAGCUUUGGUUGUUCACUUGAAGGAGCAUAUAGUAGAGGGGCGCCAAGUAACUUGCCCUGUGAAAGGGUGCACCUCUGUGUUUCGUGUAAAAUCUUCCUUUACCUCUCACAUCUCCAGGAAACAUAAAAAUUAUUUGGAAAAUGUGAUUUGUGAAACAAGUAAUGAAGAUACUCAGAGUGCUGCAAGUGCUACCACAAAAGAUUCUAGUGUGCCAGAUGCAGAAGACACAGUCAUAGAUGGACCAAAUUUCAGUGACUUGUAUCUUAGAAAUGUAUGUAUGUUUUACAUAAAACUACAGAGACAGCAUCUUCUUCCAUCAUCUACCAUUCAAAACAUUGUAGAAGAGAUGUAGAAUAUACAUGAAUUGGGACAGACAUGCUCUUUAAAUAGAUUGAACUUGCUUCUUAAAGAAAUGUCAUUUGCAGAUGAAGACAUUGCAAAAAUCUGUGACACAGUAAAACAGUCGGACUUGUUCUCAGCUUGCCACACAGAGCCGACGAGAACUGCUUAUUCUAGAGCCCAGUGUUUUAAAGACAUGUUCAAAUAUGGGGAACCCAAAAAGGUGUUGUUGGGCAAAGAUGAGGACAGAAAAGAUAGAUUUGCAUACUAUGUUCCUGUGCUAAAUACGUUAAAAGGUAUGUUAGGUUCUAAAUAUUGGCAGGGCCUAAUGAUGGCUCAUGGCGUUUCAAAAGCUGAUGUUCUCUUUGACUGUGACGAUGGUAAGGUGUUUAUGUCCAACGUAUUUUUUCAAGAAAACCCAAAUUAUCUUAAGCUGGUUCUCUAUCAAGAUUCAUUUGAAGUUGUGAACCCAUUGGGAUCUGCAAAAAAAAAAAAAGGACAAGAUCUUGGCUAUUUACUUUUCUCUACUCAAUAUGCCACCCCAUGUCCGAUCAAAUACUGAUCAUAUGCAGUUGGUCUUGUUGUGUAGCGAGAAGGAUUUCAAGGAAUUUGGCCAUUCCAGAGUUUUUUCAGAACUGUUAACUGACUUGAAAAUACUAGAGGAGAAUGGGAUAACUAUGGCAGAUGAAUCAGUUGUGAAAGGAGCACUGUAUUGCAUUGCUGGAGACAACUUGGGCUCUCACUGCAUCGGGGGUUUUAUGGAAAAUUUCAGUACAUCUCAGUACUUCUGCAGAUAUUGUCUGAUUACUCGGUCUGAAUUUCAGAGUGAAAAUCCAGCUAUCAUUGGACCAGAGCGGACUCCAGAAACGUAUCAAUCUGCCACUGAACAGCUGGAAAGAGAGGAUGUGACAGAAGUACAGGGGAUUAAGUUCAGGGUCCUCUUGCUUCACUGCGGACUGCUUCAUGUUGAGUAUUGAUCAGAAGAUUAUCAAUGACCACAUCACUGCCUUCUCCUGUGCCAUCUGCCUGAUGUUUGGCAGUUACUACUGUUUUAAUAUACACGACCCAGUGGAACUGCGGUCAACACUGGAGUUCCUCCAAAGGUGUUUCUUUUCAAUUAAUCCGGAGAGAGGAACAAAAGUUGAGCAUAGCAAGAGGAUGAAGAUCUUGGCGGUCAACCCAAGAGUCCUCACACUCAUCGCUGACCUCGCAGACCAUGAGUGGACUUAGACCAUACUUUGUGAGUUAUGUGAUAUGAUGUGUAAUGUGUUUAUGUUGCGGUAUGUAAAACUACAUUUACACUGUAAGAUUUCACAUUUUUCAUCUUCAUGUUAAAUCUUGCAAAUUUAUGUUAGACAUUUUUUUCUAUAUAUGUAUGUAGCAGAUGACAAUAAAACAGAUUUUAUGCUGCACCACUGUCAUGGCUUAAUGAAUAUGUGGUGAUUUACAAGUUACAAGUCAAAAAACGUGAACAGUUUUAGCUAUCUAUUUCAGAAAGGUUACAGUGGUGCCCAGCACAUUUGUUAGAAAGUUCUUAUUUCUGUGUAUGUGCCAAUUCCAUAUGAUAUGGAUUAUUCAUUUGAAACACACUGCACCAGGGUUGAAGUGAUAAUGUUGUGUCAUAUCUGUUCAAACUUUUGCACCAAUAUAAGUGCUUGCUGCUUUUUUGAAGAUGUGUUACAAGUUCUUUGUAAUCAGUGUUCACAGGGUUGUGAGAAGUUUGUACAGCCCAAAAAGUUUUCAUUAAAUGGAAAAAAUACAAUGAAGUUUGGUUUUUGGAUAUUUUAUGUAAAAUUUACUUAUACUUUUCCAUGUUUUUACCAUUAGACAAAACUGGUAACACAUUAUUUAGCUGCUCUAAUCGAUUUGAUGAUUUUACCAAGUAAAUUAGCACUUUUUAAUUUCAUAAUUUGCACUAACUAAACAUUUCUUUAAUGUUUCAAUGUUAAUUUUUAGCCAAAAAGUGAGAUCUUUGUAGUUUUUUUUUCUUAGUUUUAUAUAACAUUAUGGUUUCAAAGUCAGUAAUUAACCAUAAAAUCAGCAAUACUAUUGCUCUUUUACCAUUGAAGAAAAGGAUAAAUAUCCUACAUUUGUACAGUUUUUUUCCCUUUGAAAAAUAAAGACAAAACAUGUAUUAAUACAGUAAUUUAGGGAAAUGUUAGCAUGGUAAAACUGUUAAUUUACAGUAAAAUUAUUUCAAAUUUCAUGGCAUGAACUGCAUCUUAUAUAUCAAUUUUAGGACAAAAUAUCAUUUUUUAUAAUGGUAAUAAUAGUAAUUUUUACAGUAAAAGGUUAAAAAAAUAAUAAUUAUUACCGUAGAAUCAGCAAGACCAAUACUCAUCUAUAAAAAUAUCUUACUGUAAUUUUGACGGUGAAAUUCUGGCAACCACAGCUGCCAGUAAAUUACCGUUUAAAAUACAGACAAAACCCAGUAAUUAUACAGGAAUUCAGUGACAUAUUUUAUAAUUUAGACUGUUAAUUUUACAGCAAAAUACUUUCAUAUUUCAUGGCUCUGACUGUAUUUGUAAUAUUGUUUUACUGGAAAUUUUAGGAUAAAACUUGAUCAAUUUCAAUGGUAAAAACUCAUUUUUACGGUAAAAGGUUGAAUAAAACACCAUUUAUUACUGUAGAAUCAGCAAUUGUAAAAUUGUCAGACUGUAAUUUUUACGGUUAAAUUCUGGCAACCCAGCUGCCAGUACUUUACCGUAAAAAUGACAUUUUUUUUUUACAGUGUAUGCAUAAGCCUGACAUGCUGAGGAGAGAACUGCUGUGAAGCAGAAUGGGUGAGCUUGAAACCAAAGACAGAGCCUUCAAAAUCCAGGACAGCCCCUCUGUGUAUGCCGUUUUUUAAUAGUUAUGAAAUGUUUAUGAUGAAAAUGUGUUUAUAUUUAAAAUGUUUCAUCAUAAACAUUCUCUGAUGAUAAUGAGAUGACAGAGUCCAUUAGAGUUGACAUGAAGCUGUGAAUGUUACACAAACACAUCUUAAAAUGAUGGGCACUAAACGACAAACAGAAGGGACGUCUAACCAUUCAUGCUGCAAAUAUAUUCCCAAUUGCAGAUUUUUUUUUUUAUAAAAAGUCUUUAAAAAUCAAAAAUAUGAUUUUAAAAUUAAAUUAACAGUCUGGAUGAUGUGCUCUGAGCAUGAAACGGUGGGAUCUAUAAUAGUAAUCGUUGAAUGUGCAGCUGGCAAUCUUCUCCGCAGGAUAGCUGCAAGCUGAGCACUUUCUAGUAAACAAGGUUCUUUUCUCUAAAGCAUAAUAGUUCUUUCUGAUAAUUCAUGAGCCAAUUUGAUAUUUUCCAUCUGCCUUUUUAAACUUAAUGUUCAAGGUUUUACACAAAUACACUUUAUCAUAAAUAUCUUGAAAUUAUAAAUCAAAUAAUCUAAAAUAAUUGAUUUUAGAUAGCCUCUUCUUUUUACAGAAGAGAUUAUUUUCUAUGCAACCAUAGUUUAGGUUUGGAGAACAGAAAAUAGUUUAUCAAUAGGAUUGAAAGAGAAACACUUCGACGUGUCGAAUGCCAUGUCUGCCCUCUAGCGGUUGGAAAGAAGAAGUGGUUGAAGUGGAAACAAUCAAAUUGUUAUAUUUCGCUUCUCUUGCAGUAAAAAGUUAUUGUGUUUGAGUCCCAGCCUUGGGUCUUUCUCAAUUAAGUUUUAAUGUUCUCCUUGUGCAUGUGUGGGUUUUCUAGAAAGGGUUUUUUGCAUUGUUUGUCCUGUGUGUUGCCUUAUGAUGAAUUGGUGACCCUCCCAGGGUGUAAUGUUGGCAUUACACCCUGAAUGUAACAGGCAAAAUUAAAUAAUUAAUGAAUAAAGAUAUCUUAAAUAAAAUGAUACAACUUACAAAAAGACACAAGGCAAAAUAACAAUAAGAGUUAAUGUGGGUGGCAGGAAGUUGGGGAGAAUAACAGGGAAAAACAGGAGAAUUUGAUGAUGUAUAGUGAGAAGCUUUUAUAAUGGGAUGAGAAACAAGUAGCUGAGAGAGCAUUAGAGUAUUAGAGUAAGUCGGCCAUCCUUGUCCAAUGUCUGAGGUUUUGUUUUCCCUCUCUGGACUGGCAC